AAAAAAAAAAAAAAAAAAAGGAAGGGAUUCUCAUUGCAGAACAACGGUAGAAGUGCGAUCUUCGCAAAAACACCAGCAGAAAGUAUGGUGGCACAAGUGUAAAUUACAACAGAGCUGUCCUGUUUAAAAGACCAGGAACUAUCUCUCUGUUCAAUCCAGUAGCCAUUUCUCUCUCUCUCUCUCUUUCAGAAAAUGACUCCUACCCAUACUCAACUCACUAUACAAGGCAAUCCUAAGAUACUUCCAAGAGUAUCAGAAGAACACUCCAGAUAAAAGAAGAAGAAGAAAGGCCCUGCAACAAAUACAGAGGCAGCAACAGACUACUAGUGCGCACCAUUGCAGUUGCUAUAUAUGCCAUCGGAUGCGAUUUUUGCAAACUUUGCAACAUUUCCAUUUUGGUAAACAUUUACUUUUUGUAUUUGAAUUCCAUUGCCUAUUCCAGUGGGAACCUUGUGGCCUUGCAAUAGAGCAUCUAAUUGCCCACAUGCUGCUGAUAUUAGCCCUGUAUUUGGAUGAAAAUACAUUAUAAGCAUGCAUGUUCAAAAUGAGAAAUCUAAGAGACAAACAGCAGUCCAUAUCAAGUUAGGUUCUCCAAAUUUCAAAUAGGACAAAAAAAGACUCAAACAAACAUGAAUUUUUAGGUUAUUUCACCCUUUUAACCAGUCGAGAAAAAAGAUGCAAAUGAUAUGAGGCCAUCUUCAAGUCCUGGGCAUAUAUCCUGUCACUAAGAAGAAAACACCAACUAGGACGCCAGUUUUCUGCAUUGUUGUAUUUUUCAUUAUAACUUAAAAAAUCUCAGAAUUCAGAAGCAAGAAUUGUCUACCUUAAUUGCUCGAAAAAACCCUUUACAUCCAAAUAAACCAAAAAAAUGAAAUGAAAUAGUUUUCUGCAUAAUCCCCUUCUCAAAAAUUGCAGUACAGAAUCAGUUUAUACGGGAGAUGAAGAAACAGCAGAUUUCUAAUAGAUGCAACUAGCAGAACACUCAAUAUAGGGAUGAAUGAGAGAGGUACCUAAGAAUAAUGCAGAAGGUUUUCCUGGUCUUGAUUUAAAUUCAGGAUGGAAUUGAACACCAAUAUAGUAAGGAUGAUUAGGCAGCUCAACAAUCUCCAUUCGCUGACCAGUUUCAUCUUUGCCCGUGAAUGAGAGUCCAGCAUCCUCCAGGCGAGAUACCAUAUCAGGAUUCACCUGCAUAGGAAUACUUUAUUACUUCUGAGCUACUACAGCUACUUGCAAGAUAAACAUGGACAUCUUCAUGCUGCAUACCUCAUAUCUAUGCCGAUGUCUCUCAUCAAUAAAACUUCUAUUACCACAUCUGAUAGAAUCCAUAUAACAAGGGUUAGCAGCCAUAGAGUUUAGACACAUAUUCAUAAAGAUAUCAGUAAUAUUAUUGUUAUUUGCUCACAUUCAGAAGUUCUGAUUCAUACAUGUUAACGAAAAUUUUCUCUCUGUUGUAGACAAAUAUAUGGAUAGAAGAACCUUGCAUUCUUAUCUUGUAUGAAUAUAAAUAUUUCCUUCAGCCACUCCAUAGUACUUACAAUUUAGCAGAUUUGCAUUCCAUGACUUGGAAAUAUGUCCUCCUUGACCCAAGACGCAUGGUGCCUCCCAUAUGGGUUUUAGAGCCCUCAGGCAUAAAGAUGACACAGGGAUUCUUAGUGUUAGGAUCAAAUUCCGUGCUGUUAGCAUCUAGCAAACCAAGAAUAGAUCGUGCAAAUUCAAUGACUGCAAUUUGCAUUCCCAGGCAAAUGCCAAGGAAUGGAACUCUAUUCUCUCUUGCAUACUUGGCUGCCAGAAUUUUCCCUUGCACACCUCUGUCACCAAAUCCUCCUGGAACAAGAAUGCCAUCUGCACCCUUUAACAAUUUCCAUGCAACCUUAUAAGCAUCAGGAUUCUCUUUUUCCAUUUCAUCCUCAAGAUCACAAGCUGGAACCCAAUCCACAACAAGUUUCUUAAAGCAAGCAACAGAUGCAUGCAGAAGAGCCUUUAUUACUGAUAAAUAGGAAUCUGUAAGACCUGUAUACUUCCCAACCAUGGCAAUUCUCACCGGUAUGUGCAACAUAUCACAGAUAUCAGCCCUAGAAGUCCACUCCUUUAAGCUAGGCUCCCUUGUAGAACCUUGAAGAUUCAGCACUCUCAAAAUUGCUUCGUGAGCCUUCUGAUCCUAAUUGAGAAGAAACAUAUCCACACACUAAUUGUAAGAAUUGGAAGCUACACGCUAAAAUAAAGUUCAAAAUUCCUCAAAAGAGUGCUUACUCUUAAAAGUAAAGGAAUGCGCCAGAUGUUGGGAACAUCAUAGAGAGUAAUGAUAUUUUCUGCCUGAAAGCAUAUGAUCUUAAUAAUCUUACAAACUAGAUGAGUAGAAGCUCAAGCAUAUUCAUUAAAAAAAUAAAAUAAACAGGUCUGUGCUUCUAAUCUAUGUACCGGGACAUGGCAAAACUGAGAGAUUUUCAUCUUUACAUUCUCAUCGAGUGGCUGCAAAAUGAAUUCAUAUUUAAAAUAUGAGGCAACCAUAAGUAUUCAUCUGUGUGUGUGAGUGUGUGCGUGUGUGUUUGAGAGAGAGAAAGAGAUACCAAUGUGCUGCGACAAGCUAAGAUAUUUGGCGUCAAUCCUAAACCUCUCAGUCCACGAACACUAUGCUGAGUUGGUUUGGUUUUCUGUUCACCAACAACAUUUAAAACAGGUACAAGGCUAACAUGAAUCAAGCAAAAGUUACUAGAUCCCACUCGAUAUGAGAACUGUCCUAGAGCCUCAAUAAAUGGCAUGGACUCGAUAUCUCCUAUAGUGCCACCCAAUUCGAUGACGCAAACAUCAGCAGGACCAGGCAUGCCAUCUACCGGUAUCAUAGCUACACGUUCAAUCCAUUCUUGAAUGGCAUCUGUAACAUGAGGUACAACCUGGACAGUCUUUCCCAGAUAAUCUCCCCUUCUUUCCUUAUCAAUAACAGCCUGGUAAAUUUUUCCAGUAGUAAUAUUAUUGUCUCUUGUCAACUUGAUAUCUAGAAACCGUUCAUAAUUUCCAAGGUCCAAGUCCACCUCUCCACCAUCAUCUAAGACAAAAACUUCCCCAUGUUCAAAAGGUGACAUUGUUCCAGCAUCACUGUUUAAGUAAGGAUCUAUCUUGAUGGAAGUAACACGAAGACCACAAGCCUUAAGAAGCACUCCAAUACUACUAGCCGUAACUCCUUUGCCCAGUCCGCUUACUACUCCGCCAGUCACCAACAAGUACUUCAUUUUCUUCAUUAUUUCCGUAUUUACACCACCUGAAUAAGAUCAGGAAGAAGAUUUGAUAGUUGCAGUCUUUGUAGGCUGUGCAGAGUCUACAAUCUAGCUAACUUUAUCUAUUUUAGCGGCUAAAUAUGAAAGAGUAGACACCAUGAAAAGAAAAACUUGCUUAAAUCAAGAAUCUGAAAGAACAAAGAAAGCAACACUGGAGAAGGAAAACUACGGCGAUAAUUCAGAUGAAGGAAAAGGGGAAGAUGGGUGAUAAAAGAAAAUUAAUGAAUGAGAUUGGCUACUCUUUGCGGCCUUUUAUAUACACUUGCCAACCCCCCAAGCGCCCU
rnacentral:misc_RNA from 1 species